UCCCAGGUGACUCAGUGGUAAAGAACCUGCCUGCAGCGCAGGAGACUCAGGUUCAAUCCCUGGGUCAGGAA
rnacentral:tRNA from 1 species